CAACAGCCGACCUUAAGUUCACCACCAGAUGCUUCAUGACAAACUCACAAAGGCAAUAGCCACAAAGGGCCAACAACUUUCCCUGGGCAUCUAUCCAAGCCUGUCUUCAUGGUCCCUUCCAACAGCUGGACGUAUUGGCUGCCAGAUGUCCCUGAAACCGCAGGCUGCCUUACCUAUGUCAGGUAAUUUGGCUUCCCUGAUUGACCCAUCACUGAGAUCAUCACUAGCAGAAGGGAUACUGUUCCAGAACUAGCAGCCUCCAUUUCCUCCUCCUUGGGAUGUGUGUUGUGAGAAGCUCAUGUCACAUAAAAGGCAACAUGUGGGCACCUAAGCAGAUAAUCCCCAACUGAACACCCACUCAACAACUAGUGCCAACUGCCAUCCAUGAGCAUGCACCAUCUUGGAUGUUCCAGCCCAGUCAAGCCCCAGAUGACUGCAG
rnacentral:lncRNA from 10 species